rnacentral:lncRNA from 1 species
UUUUUGAGACAGGGUCUCACACUGUUGCCCAGGCUGGAGUACAGUGGCCUGAUGACUGCUCACUAUAGCCUCAACCUACUAGGGCCAAGCAAUCUUCCUACCUCAGCCUCCCAAGUAGCUGGAAUUACAGGAUCCUCAGUGAACAGCACCUAAGCACAGAGACAAGUGAACAUCUCUGGCUGAAACUACAUUCCAGUGGGACUGAAAAAUGUUCGUGUGGAAGCAUCUGACCACCAAUGACCAUGCAGUCCCACAAGGUCCGUGCAGGUUACAAGUGGCGUCCGGACACAGGACUUCGAGGAUGUAAAUGAAGAAGGUCUGCUGGAGCAGAGGAACUGAAAUUGACAAGGAAACUUUGGAAAAUAGCUGAAAGUGACCAAUUCAAGUCUAUUUCGUGGGAUGAGAAUGGAACUUGCAGAGUGAUUAAUGAAGAACUCUUCAAGAAAGAAAUUUUGGAAGAAAGGCUCUUUACAGAAUAUUGGAAACUGACAGUAUGAAAAGCUUAGUUUGACAGCUCAACCUCCAUGUAUUUAGUAAAAUUUGAGAGAAUUUUCAAACAUCUGCUUCUUUGGCCAACUUUCUGGCAGAAGAAAAACAAGUCUCUGUUUUAAGCAAAGUAUUCAAAAUAUUUCAGUUACCACAAGUAG